rnacentral:rRNA from 1 species
GAUGAACGCUGGCGGCGUGCCUAAUACAUGCAAGUCGAGCGAACAGAUGAGGAGCUUGCUCCUCUGACGUUAGCGGCGGACGGGUGAGUAACACGUGGAUAACCUACCUAUAAGACUGGGAUAACUUCGGGAAACCGGAGCUAAUACCGGAUAAUAUAUUGAACCGCAUGGUUCAAUAGUGAAAGACGGUUUUGCUGUCACAUAUAGAUGGAUCCGCGCCGCAUUAGCUAGUUGGUAAGGUAACGGCUUACCAAGGCAACGAUGCGUAGCCGACCUGAGAGGGUGAUCGGCCACACGGGAACUGAGACACGGUCCAGACUCCUACGGGAGGCAGCAGUAGGGAAUCUUCCGCAAUGGGCGAAAGCCUGACGGAGCAACGCCGCGUGAGUGAUGAAGGUCUUCGGAUCGUAAAACUCUGUUAUUAGGGAAGAACAAAUGUGUAAGUAACUAUGCACGUCUUGACGGUACCUAAUCAGAAAGCCACGGCUAACUACGUG